rnacentral:tRNA from 1 species
CGGGAUCAUAGUUUAAUUAAAAUAUUAGCAUUGGGAGCUAAUGAUUAGGUAUAUAAUCCUAUGUCCUGA